rnacentral:rRNA from 1 species
AGAGUUUGAUCCUGGCUCAGGAUGAACGCUGGCGGCGUGCCUUAGGCAUGCAAGUCGAACGGUCCCGUAAGAACCAUGGUUGUAAAGGUAUAUCUGCGUUAGAAUGUUUAAUCACCCUUGUGUAGCGCAGUGGUUACUUUAUUACCAGGGUUCUUACGGGACAGUGGCGGACGGGUGAGUAACGCGUAGGAAUCUAACUCAGAGUGGAGGAUAGCUCGCCGAAAGGCGGGGUAACCCUGCAUAAUCCCGCAAGGGCAAAGGGCGUAACUGCCCGCUUUGGGAGGAGCCUGCGUCCUAUCAGCUUGUUGGUGAGGUAACGGCUUACCAAGGCUAUGACGGGUAGGGGGCGUGAGAGCGUGGCCCCCCACAAUGGCACUGACAUACGGGCCAUACACCUACGGGUGGCAGCAACCGGGAAUAGUCGGCAAUGGACGAAAGUCUGACCGCGCGACGCCGCGUGAGGGAAGAAGGCCUUCGGGUCGUAAACCUCUUUUACCAAGAAUGAAGUCCCGAUUUAAUCGGGAUUGACAGUACUUGGGGAAUAAGGGACUACUAACUACGUGCCAGCAGUCGCGGUAAUACGUAGGUCCCAAGCGUUAUCCGAAUUUACUGGGCGUAAAGGGUCGCGUAGGCUUUUCACACAGUCUCGCUUUAAAGACCGGGGCUUAACCCCGGGCAUGGGCGAGAGACGUGUGGAAUUGAGGGAAAUAGAGGCAACAGGAACUUCUGGUGGAGCAGUGAAAUGCGUUGAGAUCAGAAGGAACACCAAAGGCGAAGGCAUGUUGCUAUGUUUCUUCUGACGCUGAGGCACGACAGCUAGGGGAGCGAAGCAGAUUAGAGACCUGCGUAGUCCUAGCCGUAAACGCAUGGAUGCUAGAUGCCCUCCUCGCAAAACUUAUGCUUUGCAAGUUGUUGGUCUUUGGUCGUUGGUCAUUAGUAAAUUUAGGUAUAUAUAUACUUAUUUUAAGCUAAAGACUAAAGACCAAUAGCUAAUAGCUUUCGCAAAACCGUAGGUUUUGCGAGUGGGGUGUCGUAAGCUAACGCGUUAAGCAUCCCGCCUGGGGAGUACAGUCGCAAGGCCGAAACUCAAAGAAAUUGACGGGGGCCUGCACAAUCGGGGGAGUAUGUGGUUUAAUUCUACGCAACGCGCAUGACCUUACCUA